UAACGCUGGCGGCGUGCUUACACAUUGCAAGUCGAACGAACCUUCGGGUUAGUGGCGGACGGGUGAGUAACGCUAUCUGCCCUCAGGAGGGGGACAACAGUUGGAAACGACUGCUAAUACCCCAUAUGCCGCGAGGUGAAAUGAAUUUCGCCUGAGGAUGAGCUCGCGUCUGAUUAGCUAGUUGGUGUAGGUAAUGGCUCACCAAGGCAUCGAUCAGUAGCUGGUCUGAGAGGAUGAUCAGCCACACUGGGACUGAGACACGGCCCAGACUCCUACGGGAGGCAGCAGUGGGGAAUUUUCCGCAAUGGGCGAAAGCCUGACGGAGCAACGCCGCGUGAGGGAUGAAGGCCUCUGGGCUGUAAACCUCUUUUAUCAAGGCAAGAAGAUCUGACGGUACUUGAUGAAUAAGCCACGGCUAAUUCCGUGCCAGCAGCCGCGGUAAUACGGGAGUGGCAAGCGUUAUCCGGAAUUAUUGGGCGUAAAGCGUCCGCAGGCGGCCCUUCAAGGUCUGCUGUUAAAACAGUGGAGCUUAACCUCCAUCAUGGCAGUGGAAACUGUUGGGGCUUGAAGUGUGGUAGGGCCACGAGGGGAAUUCCCCGGUUGUACCGGGUAGAAAUUGCGUUAGAUUCUCGGGGAAGAACCACCAGUGGCCAAGGCGGCCCCUCUUGGGGCCAUUCACUGAAACGAGCUUCAAAUUGGAACCCGACACGCCAAGGGGAAGACGCAAAGGGGGAUUUAGGAUAACCCCCUGUUUAGUUCCUUGGCCGCUAACAAGAAUUAACAACUAGGUUGUACGGGGGAAUAGACACACCCUACGGUGUU
rnacentral:rRNA from 1 species